rnacentral:rRNA from 1 species
AGAGUUUGAUCAUGGCUCAGGAUGAACGCUAGCGACAGGCUUAACACAUGCAAGUCGAGGGGCAGCACGAUGUAGCAAUACAUUGGUGGCGACCGGCGCACGGGUGAGUAACGCGUAUGCAACCUACCUAUCAGAGGGGAAUAACCCGGCGAAAGUCGGACUAAUACCGCAUAAAACAGGGGUUCCACAUGGAAAUAUUUGUUAAAGAAUUAUCGCUGAUAGAUGGGCAUGCGUUCCAUUAGAUAGUUGGUGAGGUAACGGCUCACCAAGUCCACGAUGGAUAGGGGUUCUGAGAGGAAGGUCCCCCACACUGGUACUGAGACACGGACCAGACUCCUACGGGAGGCA